GGCACCCGAAUGCACUAUUUCCGGGUAGCGAAACUCGGGUGGAUUUUUUCGCAACGGACGCACCCAAUCUACCUCAUUAGACCCUAGAACAUGUUUGGGAGUGUUUUUAGCUUUCGGUUACGGCACGAAAAAGAUGCAAAACGGGUGAAUUUCGGCACCCGAAUGCACUAUUUUCGGGUAGCGAAACUCGGGUGAUUUUUUCACAACGGACGCACCCAAUCUACCUCAUUAGACCCUAGAACGUGUUUGGAGUGUUUCCAGCAUUCGGUUACAGCACGAAAAAUGAUGCAAAACGGGUGCAUUUCGGCACUGAAUGCACUAUUUUCCGGGUAGCGAAACUCGGGUGGAUUUUUUCGCAACGAACGCAUCCAAUCUUCCUAAUUAUACCCUAGAACAUGUUUGGGAGUGUUUUUGAGCAUUCGGUUCCGGAACGAAAAACGAUGCAAAACGGGUGCAUUUCGGCACCCGAAUGCACUAUUUCCGGGUAGCGAAACUUCGGGUGGAUUUUUCGCAACGGACGCAAGCAAUCUUCCUAAUAUACCCUAGAACAUGUUUGGUAGUGUGUUUGAGCAUUCGUUACUGAUACAAAAACGAUGCAAAACGGGUGCAUUUUCGGCACCCGAAUGCACUAUUUCCGGGUAGCGAAACUCGGGUGGAUUUUUUCGCAACGGACGCAUGCAAUCUUCCUAAUUAUACCCUAGAACAUGUUUGGGAGUGUUUUUGAGCAUUCAGUUACGGCACAAAAAUGAUGCAAAACGGUGCAUUUCGGCACCUCGAAUGCACUAUUCCGGGUAGCGAACUCGGGUGGAUUUUUUCGCACGAACGCAUCAAUCUUCCUAAUUAGACCCUAGAACAUGUUUUGUAGUUUUUGAGCUUUCGGUUACGGCAUGAAAACGAUGCAAAACGGUGGCAUUCGACACCCGAAUGCACUAUUUCCGGGUAGCGAAACUCGGGUGGAUUUUUUCGCAACUGACUUACCCAAUCUACUCAUUAUACCCUAGAACAUGUUUGGGAGUGUUUUGCCAGCUUUCGGUUACGGCACGAAAAAGAUGCAAAACGGGUGAAUUUCGGCACCCAAAUGCACUAUUUUCGGGUAGCGAAACUCGGGUUGAUUUUUUCACAACGACGCACCCAAUCUACCUCAUUAUAUCCUAGAACGGUUUGGGAGUGAUUUCCAGCAUUCGGUUACGCACGAAAAAUGAUGCAAAACGGGUGCAUUUCGGCACUGAAGGCACUAUUUCCGGGUAGCGAAACUCGGGUGGAUUUUUUGCAACAGACGCACGCCAAUCUACCGUCACUAGACCUAGAAUAUGUUUGGGAGUGUUUUGAGCAUUCGGUACCGGAACGAAAAACGAUGCAAAACGGGUGCAUUUGGCCACCCGAAUGCACUAUUUCCGGGUAGCGAAACUUGGGUGGAUUUUUCACAACGGACGCAUCCAAUCUUCCUAAUUAGACCCUAGAAUAUGUUCGGGAGUGUUUUUGAGCAUUCCGUUACGGAUACGAAAAACGAUGCAAAAAGGGUGCAUUUCGGACACCCGAAUGCACUAUUUCCGGGUAGCGAAACUCGGGUGGAUUUUUUCGCAACGACACACCAAUCUACCUAAUUAGACCCUAGAACAUGUUUGGGAGUGUUUUUCAGCUUCAGUCAUGGCACAAAAAACGAUGCAAAAUAGGGUGCAUUUCGGCACUCGAAUGCACUAUUUCCGAGUAGCGAAACUCGGGUGAAUUUUUUCGCAACGGACGCACCCAAUCUACCUCAUUAGACCCUAGAAACAUGUUGGUCGUUUUCGAGCAUUCGGUUACAGCAUGAAAAACGAUGCAAAACGGUGGCAAUUCGACACCCGAAUGCACUAUUUCCGGGUAGCGAAACUCGGGUGGAUUUUUUCGCAACGAACGCAUGCAAUCUUCAUAAUUAUACCCUAGAACAUGUUUGGGAGUGUUUUUGAGCAUUCGGUUCCGGAACGAAAAAUGAUGCAAAACGGGUGCAUUUCGGCACCCGAAUGCAUAUUGCCGGGUAGCGAAACUCGGGUGGAUUUUUUCGCAACGAACGCAUGCAAUCUUCCUAAUUAUACCCUAAAACAUGUUUGGGAGUGUUUUUGAGCAUUCGGUUCCGGAACGAAAAAUAAUGCAAAACGGGUGCAUUUCGGCACCCGAAUGCACUAUUGCCGGGUAGCGAAACUCGGGUGGAUUUUUUCGUAACGAAC
rnacentral:lncRNA from 1 species